rnacentral:lncRNA from 1 species
AUGGGAAAGGAGCGGCUCACAAAUACCCCCAGAAGAAAUCUCCAAGUAGCGAUGGGAAGGAAACGCAUUCCGCACGCCUACAGACAUAAUCCCCUCUGCUGUAACGAGGGGCUUAUCAAUGUUUUAUAUAUUUUUAAUUUGGGAUUAUUUUUUUUUUCUGCGCGCCAUGAAAUAUGUGCCUUUGCAAACCAGUUCGGAUCUUUUCUAUUUCUAAUUGGACAAUUACU